rnacentral:rRNA from 1 species
CCGGGCGUAUAGACCGUACCCGAAACCGACACAGGUGGACUGGUAGAGCAUACCAAGGCGCUUGAGAGAACUAUGCUGAAGGAACUAGGCAAAUUGCUCGCGUAACUUCGGGAUAAGCGAGACCAUUCAGUGGGCAACCAUUGGGUGGUGGCACAGAGCAGGGGGUAGCGACUGUUUAGUAAAAACACAGGGCUCUGCGAAGUCGAGAGACGACGUAUAGGGUCUGACGCCUGCCCGGUGCCGGAAGGUUAAGAGGAGGUGUGCAAGCACUGAAUUGAAGCCCCGGUAAACGGCGGCCGUAACAAUAACGGUCCUAAGGUAGCGAAAUUCCUUGUCGGGUAAGUUCCGACCUGCACGAAUGGCGUAACGACUUCCCCACUGUCUCCAGCGUAGGCUCAGCGAAAUUGAAUUCCCCGUGAAGAUGCGGGGUACCCGCGGUCAGACGGAAAGACCCUAUGAACCUUUACUGCAGCUUUGCAGUGGCAGCAGGAGAACUCUGUGUAGGAUAGGUGGGAGGCUUUGAAGCCGGGGCGCUAGCUUUGGUGGAGCCAUCCUUGAAAUACCACCCUGAGUGCUUCUGCUGUCUAACCGCGGCCGAUCAUCUCGGUCCGGGACCCUGCAUGGUGGGCAGUUUGACUGGGGCGGUCGCCUCCCAAAAAGUAACGGAGGCGCGCGAUGGUGGGCUCAAGCCGGUCGGACAUCGGCUGUUGAGUGCAAUGGCAUAAGCCCGCCUGACUGCGAGAGUGACAGCUCGAGCAGAGACGAAAGUCGGCCAUAGUGAUCCGGUGGUCCCGCGUGGAAGGGCCAUCGCUCAACGGAUAAAAGGUACUCUAGGGAUAACAGGCUGAUCUCCCCCAAGAGUCCACAUCGACGGGGAGGUUUGGCACCUCGAUGUCGGCUCAUCACAUCCUGGGGCUGGAGCAGGUCCCAAGGGUUCGGCUGUUCGCCGAUUAAAGUGGUACGUGAGCUGGGUUUAGAACGUCGUGAGACAGUUCGGUCCCUAUCUGCCGUGGGUGUUGGAGACUUGAGAGGAUUUGUCCCUAGUACGAGAGGACCGGGAUGAACAUACCUCUGGUGCACCGGUUGUCACGCCAGUGGCACAGCCGGGUAGCUAAGUAUGGACGGGAUAACCGCUGAAAGCAUCUAAGCGGGAAACCCACCUCAAAACCAGGUCUCCCUGAGGGCCGUGAAAGACCAUCACGUUGAUAGGCCGGAUGUGGAAGCGCGGUAACGCGUGAAGCUGACCGGUCCUAAUAGCCCGAAAAAAAAAAGAAA